rnacentral:rRNA from 1 species
CCUACGGGGGGCUGCAGUGGGGAAUAUUGCACAAUGGGCGGAAGCCUGAUGCAGCGACGCCGCGUGAGGGAUGGAGGCCUUCGGGUUGUAAACCUCUUUCAGCAGGGACGAAGCGUGAGUGACGGUACCUGCAGAAGAAGCACCGGCUAACUACGUGCCAGCAGCCGCGGUAAUACGUAGGGUGCGAGCGUUGUCCGGAAUUACUGGGCGUAAAGAGUUCGUAGGCGGUUUGUCGCGUCGUUUGUGAAAACCCGGGGCUCAACUUCGGGCUUGCA